UGGGGAAUAUUGCACAAUGGGCGAAAGCCUGAUGCAGCAACGCCGCGUGAGUGAUGAAGGCCUUCGGGUUGUAAAGCUCUGUCUUUUGGGACGAUAAUGACGGUACCAAAGGAGGAAGCCACGGCUAACUACGUGCCAGCAGCCGCGGUAAUACGUAGGUGGCAAGCGUUGUCCGGAUUUACUGGGCGUAAAGGAUGCGUAGGCGGAUUUUUAAGUGAGAUGUGAAAUACCCGGGCUUAACUUGGGUGCUGCAUUUCAAACUGGGAAUCUAGAGUGCGGGAGAGGAGAAUGGAAUUCCUAGUGUAGCGGUGAAAUACGUAGAGAUUAGGAAGAACACCAGUGGCGAAGGCGAUUCUCUGGACCGUAACUGACGCUGAGGCAUGAAAGCGUGGGUAGCAAACAGGAUUAGAUACCCUGGUAGUCCACGCCGUAAACGAUGAGUACUAGGUGUAGGAGGUAUCGACCCCUUCUGUGCCGCAGUUAACACAAUAAGUACUCCGCCUGGGAAGUACGAUCGCAAGAUUAAAACUUAAAUGAAUUGACGGGGUCAUAGC
rnacentral:rRNA from 1 species